rnacentral:rRNA from 1 species
GACGUAGGGCGCGAGCGUUGUCCGGAUUUAUUGGGCGUAAAGAGCUCGUAGGUGGUUUGUCGCGUUGUUCGUGAAAACCGGGGGCUUAACCCUCGGCGUGCGGGCGAUACGGGCAGACUUGAGUACUGCAGGGGAGACUGGAAUUCCUGGUGUAGUGGUGGAAUGCGCAGAUAUCAGGAGGAACACCGGUGGCGAAGGCGGGUCUCUGGGCAGUAACUGACGCUGAGGAGCGAAAGCGUGGGGAGCAAACAGG